rnacentral:rRNA from 1 species
GAUGAACGCUGGCGGCGUGCCUAAUACAUGCAAGUCGAGCGAACAGACGAGGAGCUUGCUCCUUCGACGUUAGCGGCGGACGGGUGAGUAACACGUAGGUAACCUACCUAUAAGACUGGGAUAACUUCGGGAAACCGGAGCUAAUACCGGAUAAUAUUUCGAACCGCAUGGUUCGAUAGUGAAAGAUGGCUUUGCUAUCACUUAUAGAUGGACCUGCGCCGUAUUAGCUAGUUGGUAAGGUAACGGCUUACCAAGGCAACGAUACGUAGCCGACCUGAGAGAGUGGUCGGCCACACGAGACCUGAGACACGGUCCAGACUCCUACGGGAGGCAGCAGUAGGGAAUCUUCCGCAAUGGGCGAAAGCCUGACGGAGCAACGCCGCGUGAGUGAUGAAGGUCUUCGGAUCGUAAAACUCUGUUAUUAGGGAAGAACAAACGUGUAAGUAACUGUGCACGUCUUGACGGUACCUAAUCAGAAAGCCACGGCUAACUACGUG